UCAGAAUACCAAAAUAUUCAGUUCACUGCGGCGAGAUGACUUGCAAUUGCUGUCAUGCACGUUAACCAUAUCAUGGGCAGACUGAAUGCUCCAAGGAUCUCUAGUACGUCAUCGACUUGGAAAAGGUUAAAGAAAAUUUCAUAACACUAGAGUGUUAAGAGAAGACCAGCCUCGACAUCAACCAACCAAGGCUAUCCGAAGUUCAGCGUAGUUCUGAACGUAUCAUUUCGUUUGUCGUUUAUGUUCGUUAAACGAACACUUCUUGAUGUGGAUUCAGAGCCAUCGGGCGAAAAGCAAAGGGCGCGAAGAUGGAAGAUAGGACUCUACGCUUCGCUAGAGGAUUCUUCACUUGUGUGGUACAACAAAUUUCGUCUGUCGAUUUAUUAGUUAGUCAGCAAGGAAUGACUAGAUAGGGUUCGACAGACGAAUUUAGUCUAGGUGGUUAGAUGGCUGUUAUUAGCUUUUUAGCAAAGAAUUCAGUCCGUCGGGCAUUUAAAAUUUGAAACUAAAUUUUUUUAUAACUAUAAUCUGGCGCUUUAUGGGCGUGUACAUUAUACAUAGAUUAAUCAGUAUAAAUUUCUUAGUAAUGGGCAUUUAUUUGACAUCUCUUUCUCAUGUAUCGAUCCACAUAGUAAUAUUUCGUGGUCGAUUUGAUAGUCUAAUAUUUGGAAUAGGAAAACUAACCAUGUUUUUUCUUUCAAUAAUGCCGAAACCUUUCUAUGGUUACAAUUAGCAAUGCGAUAUCUUUGUUAUUAUUGCUCCUUAAAAUUUGACCGACCAAAUUUAAUAAAGAAGGGUUUCGGUUAGGCUUAACACUGCACUGAAUUAUGUAUUAUUAGUUAGAUAGGGCGUUAGGUUUUUGUUCUUUAUUUCUUGGAUUGAGCUUCAAAGUCUCCUAAAUUAAAUCGGUCACAUGGAGCACAUAUUUGAAUGAGACUUGGAGCUUUUUUCCUUGUUAGGCCAUAGUACAGGGUGCCCGCAAAUUGUGGGACGAAGCAGACGAAAGACAUCGAAAAGUACCACAAUUCCUCUUUGGUGCAAUAAAUGGUCAUAAAUGUUAAACUUGACUACAGAAAUUGUUUGAAAAAAUAUUCUGAAUCAUAUUUAGUUUUUUCAGUACUCAGAUUUAUUUGAAAACUAUUGGCCACUAUUGCACUUAAAGAGGUGAAGUCUUGGAUUAAUAUUGAACGGGUUUUCUUACCCAGAUUCAAUAUUACCAAGCCCAGUCGCACAAAGCUUCUGGUAAGGUAGUUAGACUAGGGCAAAUAGUAGUUGAUGACUUUAGCAUUGUGGCGCACACAAUUGUAUCAUGCACUUACCAUAAACCACGCAAAAACGACUGUGUAAAACUGAAGUUUAAAGUUAUUAUUAAGAUUCGGCCAACUGUGCGCCAAGGCAAAGUCAUCUGCUAUGCCUCUUAGAUGUUGCCUUAGUUCGCAGGCAACUUAGGAUUUGUUAGGCCGGUCAGCUUUCAGUUUAUAUAUCAAGAGAUUAGUACGGCAGUCAUAAACAAACUCAUAAAUUGCAAUAUUUGGGUUCGUGUUUAGGAUUGCAGGGGGAGCUGACGCCCGCGCUUCGAUCUAGACAGCCCAAACCCCAGGUGCUUGCACCAUUUAGCUAGGAUUCACUCCAACGUAGCAGAGUGAAAUAGCCCGCGCACAGGAUAAAUCUAGGUUUGGUUAAUAAAAGCUGACCUUAGGCAGGUUAGAAUAUGUAGGGAACGCUCCGUUCACUGCAAUAUUAGAUCAGGUCGGCGUAAAUAGACUUUGUCAAACUAGGGUCAAAAAUCGUUCGCUUGGAUGUUGAGAUGGGUGGUUGGGACGGCCGGAUAGUUAGUUUUUUUAGUUAGGGAUAGAUAGGUAUAAGGGUGAAGAGUUAUUAUCACUCGCACUGUUGUCCUCUCUUGUGACUUCAAGCUGGGUUUGAUAAUUUACUUUUUCACGGUGAUAGGGACGCAUUAGGAGAAUGAAUGAUGUAAAGGUUCCCAGACAUCUUGUCUGGGGAUUAAAACUCUUUUCUCUUUCAAAUAUACUUCUAGGCUAUAUUUUUACACUUGUGCGUAGGUAAUUUUACAUGGUUAAUUGUCUUAGCGACAAAACCAUGUUCAUACACUUUGAUUUCGUGCAAUAGAGUACAAGACCUUUAUCAUAUUCGACUUACUUUUCCAUCGUGUUCCAUACACAGCAAUGUCGUGCAAUCAAAUGCAAGACAAUUAUCAUCUAUCGACUUGGUUUUUCUCAUAUUCAUAUACAACACCCUACUGUCGUGCAAUAAAAUGCAAGACGUUACUUUUGAUUUUCGUUGGUAUUGUGUUUAAGACAAACCAUAUUGCCGUGCUAUCGAAUGCAAGGCAUCUAUAUGCAGUGCCGUGCAAACAACUGUACGGCACUUUUUAUUUAGUAUACAUCACACUUUUUUAUUUGUUCUACUGUCGUGCAAUCAAAUGCAAGACAUUACUUUUGUUUUUUUUUGUGGUUUAUUGUGUUUGAGACAAACCAUAUUGCCGUGCAAUCGAAUGCAAGGCAUCUAUAUGCAGUGCCGUGCAAACAACUGUACGGCACUUUUUAUUUAGUAUACAUCACACUUUUUUAUUUGUUCAGCUAUUUACUUAUCAGUGUCACCCUUUUCCUGAUAAUUUGCUUCUGUAUAAACCAUCAUUUCGUCAACUAACACUGUUUUCAUAUUUUCAGAUAUCAUCCAAAGAAGAUGAAAACUAGUUACUUUCAUUAAUUUUUCCGAAGCUUAACUUAAUUCGACUGAUCCAGAUUAAUGUUUUUUUCAUUAAUAUAAAAUGGCUGGUUUUGAUUGGCACCGAAAAUAAAUUCGAUCAAACAUGUUUUCUCCAAUGGACAAGUUUCCGAUAAUAUGAAAUGACUAUGGUUCGUAUUUACCAUCAACAAAUUCGAGCCAACUAACAUUCGACUGACGAACUUCCGAAAUUGGGAUUAAUUGUGGUACAAACUGACAUUACCAAUCCAGCGGAAAUUAUUGGUUUCUAUUAAUGUGAAAUGACUGGCACUCAAAAUAACUCGGCACACACAACAAUAUUUGGCUCAAUCAAACAUUUUGAUAAUUCAUUGAAUUUAGCUGCAAAUAUAUUAGCGCAGCCAUCAGUAUUUAGCAUUCCAGUAAUGUCCAACAACCGGCGUUUAAAUUAAACAAUAAUUAAAAUUGGGCCAGUUAACAUUUGCUACAGAUACAGUGUUUCCAGUAAUAUGAAUCCAGAUUGAUCUUCUACUAAAUUGGUCAUUAUUAAUUGGGUAUAACAUAAAUAAAUUGGCUGCCCAUCAUCGUUAGUUAGCCUUACGAUACAAAAUUAGGCUAUAUGACAAAGUUGGGCAAAAUAAAUAUUUUGGGCCAGCCUGUUGUCUUAAGAAAACGUUUUAUGAAAAUAGGAAGUGACUAUCGAUAAGACGGCUUAUCCAGUUAAAUUUUCAGAUGCAUGGACUUGGUUUUCGACGCAUGGACUUAAUAGUUGAGGGAGGCUUUAGCGGAUAAGCGGUCAUGUAAAACACCUAACUCACAAAUUGGGCGUUAAAACAUUAAUUUGUUACGUGAAUCACCCUAACUGAUAAAUUGGGCGUUAAACAAUAAUUGGUCUAACCAAAAGUGGAUUGAUUCGAUAAAUUGCACCAUCCAACAUUCUUGGCCUUAACAAAUUUUCCGAUGUUCCAAAUUUGUUGAAAUGACAAUUCAGAUUGACAUUAGCUUAUAAAAAAAUUUCGAAUAUUUUGAAAUGACUGGUUUUAAAUUGGAGACUAAAAUGAAUUUACGAGUUCACCAACACUAAUUGACUUGCCCGAAUCCUAUUGCCAGAUUGGUUGAGAUCACCCAAUGAGAGUUACCUAUGUUACAAGGCUAGAUGUAGUUGUAAGAUAUGCAAUCCGAUAAAUGUGAAAAGAACAAUUUCAGAGUGUAAAAAGUCAUAUUGAGAAAUACUUUAUAAAUUUGUAGAAAAAGAGGCGUGAAAGAGCUAAGUUAUGUAAAACCGAAGCCAAUUGAAACGGUUAAGCCUGUUAUUUAUCAACGUAAGUUAUCAGUACAGAAAAAAUUGUACAGUAAUACAUUACAGUAACUGCCCAAUAUAUGCAAGAAAGCCAGAGAGAGAUCAAGAAAAUUUUGAAGAAUUUAGCAAGAUAUGUGAUGCAUGACUGCAAAGCUGUAUGUGAACAUUCGAAAGAUAAAAACCGUUUUUGGACAUGCCCUAAGAUCCCAAUCAUAGCCUACAAGACUAUUUUCGUGAACUACAUAUCCAGCCAAUAAAAUUAGACAUUGGCGGAAUAGUUUCAACAUUUGUUGUUUGUUUAUGAUAGCUUGAGCAGUAUAAUAUCUAUUUGAUCAGGAAAUGCAACGUUCAGAUAUUAGGAAUAAGUUUAUAUUAACGAGUCUGAUCUGGCGUUGGGCCAAGUGCAGAGGCUGAAAGAUAGGCUUAUCAAUUAAAUAUGCAGCGUAAAAUUAACGCAAAAAUUCCACCUCUGGCUGUAUUUGAAGAAUCAAGUCUACAUUGAAAUCGUAUAUAUUUACAACCGAAAAGGUUUUCAAGACUACCAUUCUCGGUAACUACAUGUUGCUUGCCAACCAUUUGUAACUUGUACAAUGAAGCAUAUGAAGUUACAGCUAAUGAAUACAUGUCAGAGUAGAUAUUUUUGUAGCAAACACAACAGUCAGUUAAUUACAAUUAAUUAGAUAAGAAUUCAGAGGUCGAGGCCGAUCAAGUUCAUCUUAAGCAGACUCUGAUAACUCAGUUCAUCAGUUUCUUGUAGACACAUAAUCUGUACAAUUUAGGCAGAUAACAGCUCAGAUAAGUUUGUUAUAGUGUUAUUGCUUAUAACAGAAAUGAGAUAUUUUAGUUACUGAAUGACGGACCUCUACGGACGUUGGAUACCACAUAAUCCUGAGAUUCGUGCCCCCAUUUACUCAGCAAAGAAUAAAAGGAACGGCAAUUCAAGGAAACUGUUCAACUAACUUCAUAAUCAAAGUGAGA